rnacentral:tRNA from 1 species
AAAACUUUAAGUUAAUAAAACUUUAAAUCUUCAAAAUUUAACAUAAAUUCUAAUAUUUAAGUUUUA